rnacentral:lncRNA from 1 species
ACACUCCAUAAGUCUCGGCACUGCUCAUCAGCCCAUGUGUCAGCACGCUCUUGCUGAUGGGAGCAGCGGGGAGAAACGCCAUACUGGGAAGUCACUGCUGGUGUGGGACAAGUUACAAGAUGCUUCUGGGGGAGGAAAAUGUGUAUCAUCAACUCCUCAGGACAGUGAAGCCUGCUCAGUCUAGACUUACAUGAGAGACUACUCAAUGACUCUCACAGAAAAGAGAUCUUCCCAAGGUGACAUCUUCUCCUCCUAAGCCAAUAAGGUCAUCUUACUCACAGUCCACUUCCAGGAACUGACCCCAAAUGGACAGAAUCUACUUAUAUCAUGGCACAGCUGUCAACUUCUCUUGCUAAAGAAGAGAAUAACGCUCACAAAAUUGCCCCAGAUGGCGGUGCAACAUUUUUGGGCCAAGUACUACAACUGAAAAGCAUGAACAGAGUUUUACCAGCGGGUUACAGAAAACUAGUGACAUGCUCUUGGAGAAGCCCCUCUUACAGAAGGCCAAAGAAGCUGAGAAAGCACAGAGGAAAUAAUCAAGGCUCACCUGGGAAAGCAACACAGCUUCACCAUCAUUCUCUCGUCCCUGAGAAAAUAAAUCAAAACAAACAAGUAUAUUGAGCACUGGGUGUUCAAAACCACAUGAAGAAUUGUUUUUUGUUAAAUUAAAGCCUUAAGUAGUCUUAAAUGAUGUAGCAAAAUAUGCCCAUUCAAUGUGGUUACUUACCUCCUCAGAUAUGAAAGGAUUUUAUAUGGCAGUAUUUUUAUAUUCUACGUUCUUACAAGUUUCACAUAUUCCAUUACUUAAGCGUUCAUAUUUCUCACAAAGACUUACAUUCCUCAGGAGUACAAUGUUUUAGAACAAAGAAUGCAUUCAAUAAAUCUUUACAGAGUUAAUCUUUACAGAGGACAAUUCUCCUGUAGACAGGAGUGAAUACAUAUAAAGGACAAAUAACGAGGCAAGGCCUUUGUACCUUUCAGCCAUCUGCAAAAUGAAGAACUGAAUUCAAAUUUUGAUAGGCAUGGCUUUCAGAGAAGUCUGACAGAAGCUAUGCAUGAAUUUCUUUUUUUCUCUUUUACAGUUCCCUUCUUACUUAAAAAAAAAAAAUCCUGAAGUGGCUUAGUGAUAUAAACUAUGGAGAGAGGUGUGGGUGGUUCUUUUAAGUGCACAAUAACCAACAGGUCUCCCUCCUGGAAAAAUUCUCAGAUGCUGAGGAAGAUAUUUCCUGUGGCCAAAAGAUUUUCUUCACUAGUUUUUGUCAAAAUGUCUUUUCGCAGUUUAAGUUCUCUGACGUUGACUGAUGUGGGCCCACUUGCAAAAGGCCUUCCCACAUAUCUCAUAGAGUUUAUCUCUGGAAGGAAUUCUUCAAUGCCAAGUGAGGAUGAGCUGCAGGUCACAGCUUUCCUACUGCCACUGAAUUCAGAGUGCUUCUCCUCAGUGUGGCUCUCUAUGUAUCAAAGAAAAAAAAAAAAAGAAAACCCACAAAUUCCCACAUCAUUUGCACUCAAAGGUUUUUUCCUCCAGAGUGGAUCUUACUCUGUUGGGCAAAAGCAGAGUGGUAGCCAAAGUCCUUUCUAUGUUCAAGGCACUCAUAAGGUUUCUCUCCAGUGUGACUCCUUGUAUGUCGAGUGAGGGAAUAGCUGUAGUAAAAACCUUUCCCACAUUCUUUGCACUCGUAGGGCUUUCCUGCAGUGUGGGUCAUACUAUGUCGGAAGAAAACAGAGCGGUAGGUGAAGGUCUUCCCGCACUCACUGCACUUGCAGGGCUUCUCUCCAGUGUGAAUCUUCAUGUGCCGGGUUAAGGAAGAGUUGUAGUAAAAGGUUUUUCCACAUUCUUUGCACCCAAAGAGUUUUUCUCCAGUGUGGGUCACACGAUGCUGGAUGAAGACAGAGUGAUAGCUGAAGGUCUUUCCACACUCGCUGCACUCAUAGGGCUUCUCUCCAGUGUGAAUCUGGCGGUAGCACAGGAGGUGCGACCUGCGGUUGAAGACCUUCCCGCACUCCACGCACUUACAGGGCUUCUCCCCUGUGUGAAUCCUCAUGGGUCGAACGAAGUCGACCUUUUCAGGAAAGGCUUUUCCACACUCCUGGCAUUCAUAAGGCUUCACCCCAGUGUGAAUCUGCUGAUGUCGAACAAGGAGGCUGUUUUUGUUAAACACGCUCCCACAUUCCUUGCAUUUGUAGGUCUUCCCCUCACGAACCAAAGUGUCUUUACUUGGUCCCUGGGAGUCACAUUCAUGGAGAUUGUCUCCUGUGGAGACCUGCUCCUGUAAAACCUGUGAGUGCAGACCAUCACCUGUCCCCAACCCAUCGCGUUUAGGGCUCAUCUUCCUCCAGAAGGUCUCCGUGUGGGAGACUGCAGCCAAACUCAAGUGCCCUUCUGCAUUUCCAACUGUGUCCGGAAUUGGUGGGUUCUUGGUCUCACUGACUUCAAGAAUGAAGCCGCGGACCCUUGUGGUGAGUGUUACAGCUCUUAAGGUGGCGCGUCUAGAGUUUGUUCCUUCUGAUGUUCGGAUGUGUUCGGAGUUUCUUCCUUCUGGCGGGUUCGUGGUCUCGCUGGCUCAGGAGUGAAGCUGCAGACCUUCGUGGUGAGUGUUACAGCUCUUAAGGCUUAAGGCGGCGCGUCUGGAGUUGUUCGUUCCUCCCGGUGGGCUCGUGGUCUCGCUGGCUUCAGGAGUGAAGCUGCAGACGUUUGCGGUGAGUGUUACAGCUGGUAAAAGCAGUGUGGACCCAAAGAGUGAGAAGUAGCAAGAUUUAUUGCAAAGAGCGAAAGAACAAAGCUUCCACAGUGUGGAAAGGGACCCCAGCGGGUUGCCACUGCUGGCUCCGGCAGCCUGCUUUCAUUCUCUUAUCUGGCCCCACCCACAUCCUGCUGAUUGGUAGAGGCCUGGUCUGUUUUGACAGGGCGCUGAUUGGUGUGUUUACAAUUCCUGAGCUAGACACAAAGGUUCUCCACGUCCCCACUAGAUUAGCUAGACACAGAGUGUGGACAUAAAGGUUCUCUAAGUCCCCACCAGAGUAGCUAGAUACAGAGUGUCCAUUGGUGCAUUCACAAACCCUGAGCUAGACACAGGGUGCUGAUUGGUGUGUUUACAAACCUUGAGCUAGAUACAGAGUGCCGAUUGGUGUAUUUACAAUCCCUGAGCUAGACAUAAAGGUUCUCCAAGGCCCCACCAGAGUAGCUAGAUACAGAGUGUAGAUUGGUGCAUUCACAAACCCUGAGCUAGACACAGGGUGCUGAUUGGUGUGUUUACAAACCUUGAGCUAGAUACAGAGUGCUGAUCAGUGUAUUUACAAUCCCUGAGCUAGACAUAAAGGUUCUCCAAGGCCCCACCAGAGUAGCUAGGUACAGAGUGUCCAUUGGUGCAUUCACAAACCCUGAGCUAGACACAGGGUGCUGAUUGGUGUAUUUACAAUCCCUGAGCUACACAUAAAGGUUCUCCAUGUCCCCACCAGACUCAGAAGCCCAGCUGGCUUCACCCAGUGGAUCCCGCACCGGGGCUGCAGGUGGAGCUGCCUGCCAGUCCUGCGCCAUGCACCCGCACUCCUCAGCCCUUGGGUGGUCGAUGGGACUGGGUGCCGUGGAGCAGGGGGCGGCGCUCAUCGGGGAGGAUCGGGCCGUACAGGAGCCCACGGAGGGGGUGGGAGGCUCAGGCAUGGCGGGCUGCAGGUCCCGAGCCCUGCCCCACGGGAAGGCAGCUAAGGCCCAGCAAGAAAUCGAGUGCAGCGCCGGUGGGCUGGCACUGCUGGGGGACCCAGUACACCCUCCGCAGCCGCUGGCCCGGGUGCUAAGCCCCUCAUUGCCUGGGGCCGGCAGGGCCGGCCGGCUGCUCCGAGUGUGGGGCCCGCCAAGCCCAUGCCCACUCUGAACUCCAACUGGCCCGCAAGUGCCGCGUGCAGCCCGGGUUCCCGCUCUUUCCUCUCCCUCCACACCUCCCUGCAAGCUGAGGGAGCCGGCUCCGGCCUUGGCCAGCCCAGAAAGGGGCUCCCACAGUGCAGCAGUGGGCUGAAGGGCUCCUCAAGUGCCGCCAAAGUGGGAGCCCAGGCAGAGGAGGCGCCGAGAGCGAGCGAGGGCUGUGAGGACUGCCAGCACGCUGUCACCUCUCACAACCACUCUUUCCCUCACUCACCUCAACCUGGAGGAACUUCUGGCUCCCUGAGUUAGUCUUUCCAGGAGCAAGGCUCCCUAGGACAAGGCUGGCUGGCUUUGGCUUUUACUUUGUCACCUGGACAGCAGCUUUAGCAAAGGUAUUUUCUGCUCUUUUAUCACUGCUUCAGCUAGUAGGUCAACUGUGGUUUGCAUGCCCCCGUGACGAGUGGUCUGCAGGUCUCUGGUGUCACCUCCCAGUACGGGGUCCUCUGGGGCUGGUCCAGCUGCUCCCACUUCUUCCAGGUUAAGAUCAUGGACAUGUCCUGCACCACUGCCUCGGAUGUCGCUGCAAUGGAGCAAGACAAAAGCCACGCGGCACCUGCAUCCGCAUAUGCAGAGAGUACUUCCGACUACAGAUACCAGAGAGCCGCGUGCAGCCUCCGCCAGCCGAACUACAAGUCUCAGAGGCCUCAGUUUCAUUUUUUAAUUCCUGGGAAUUUAACCCUCAAUUAUUCUAAAUGGAAGUUGAUGCCGGUUGGGUCGGGGCGACCUGCAAGCUUGCGCACAAACGUGCACAUAAGAACAUACAUGUAAGGAACCUGUUCAUGCAGGGCGUGGAGAGAGUGUGUCCCACUUAUCACUUAAUUUUACCCGCUGACCCCACGAUAAACUGUACCAAGGGGCUGGCCAUUAAAGUCAAUCCAGUCAAAAUACUCAGUGUGGAGAAGACAUGGAAAUUCAGGAUCUCUUUUAUGUUGUGGAUGGUUCUGUAAUUAGUAAAAUCACUUUGGAAAAGUUUGGUCCUAUGUCCUAAAGGUCUUUCCAAAACAAAGCUUUCCCACAUGUACCAGGAAAUGUGUUCCAGAAUGCUCACAUUAGCAAACACCUGGAGAGAGUUCAGGAAAGAGGAUGGCCGCUACACAGAAUACAACAUUGUUCAGCCGCCUGGGACUGCUGCCGUCCAGUACUUCUCCCAGGGGAGCCAGGGAAGCAUCACAGUUUAUGUUGCAGAAUCCUCAAAAAUGAAGGGUGUAACAGCACCAAAUCGCUCUGGAGCUGGUGAGGAGUGGAAGCCAUCAUAUGGAGAUUGGUGGCAGUGGCUUGAGCUUUGAGCAAGACCCUGAUCCACUGCCCUCCCCUUCCCAAAAUGCAGCUGGUUUUUAAAGUGAAGAGAGGAUCUUGGAACCAGGGAAUGAGAAGCAAAUUGGACAGUUCUGGCGAAUACUGAAGAAGAGAACUGAUGGUCACUGACAUAUGGACCCCUCACUCCACCCCUCUUUGCUCGUCAUAGCAGCUGUUUGGAAUGUUCCUCUCUCAGAAUCUAAUCAGCUCAAGAGGAGAGACCCAAAGACGCUGAUAUUGCAGUUCUCCCAGUGAGGUGGCCUGGCACGUUGACUUUUAGCAAAUACUUAUACUUUGUUUUAUUUUUCUUUCUUCUGUGCUGGCCAGAACCUCUAUCUACUAUAUUGAAAAGAAGAGGUGCUAUCAAAUGCCAUUUUCAUUUUGCUGAUUAAAAAAAAUUCUUCUAAUGUUUCAUAAUUAAGAAUGUGUGUAGUGUGAAAUUUUACUGGUAUCACCAGCUUGAUUAGUUUUAUAAGAUAUAAAUAUUGGGGUCAGAGAAAUAAAAGAGCAGGCAGACAUGCUAACUGAAAAAUCCAACAGAGUUUUCUCACCCAAAGUAUUUGGAACAAAUCAGUACAGUCACAAUACAAGGCAGAAGGCUCAGCUGUGUUAUCCAGACAGCAAGAGUCUCCCCAAGAUGGGAGGCAAUAGUGGAUGGCAAUGACUUAGGCUGCUAUGCAUGAGCUCUUCUGAAUCGGUUCUGAACUGUCUUGCCAGGGACAGUGCCUUCAUCAUUCUUAGGACGCUGCACAUUUGAUGGUGAAGUUCUCUCCAGCAGUGGUUCUCAAAGUGUCAUUCCUGGUCUCUGUUGUGCUUAUUUUUAAGAGUUAAAGAGCUGGGCGCGGUGGCUCAGGCCUGUAAUUCUAGCACUUUGGGAGGCCAAGGCAGGCGGUUCACAAGGUCAGGAGUUUGAGACCAGCCUGGCCAACAUGGCGAAACCCAAUCUCUCCUAAAAAUACAAAAAUUAGCUGGGCGUGGUGGUACGUGCCUGUAAUCCCAGCUAUUCAAGAGGGUGAGGCAGGAGAAUUACUUGAAUCUGGGAGUCGGAGGUUGCAGUGAGCUAAGAUGGUGCCACUGCACUCCAGCCUGGGCAACAGAGCAAGACUCUGUCUUGAGAAAAAAAAAAGAGUUAAAGAAAGCUGAUCACUAAAUACAUGCAAUCUAACCAUGAUCAUGUGGGCGGUUACAAAAUGCAUUAGUUUUAUUUCUUGGAAAUGUCUAUUUUUUUCUUUAAUGAAUUUGUCUUUCAGCAUAUGGUUUUAAUGAUAUAAAACAGCUCCUAAAAAUGAUAAAAAAAAUUUCUCUCAUUUGAGCUGUCAGUAGCAAAGCUUGUAAGUAAUGUGACUAUCUCAGCAAAAAGUUGGUACGAAUUAGAUCAUAUCAGUAACAAUGCCCAGAGUCUGCUCUCUGGAAAUUCUCAGGGGGUUUCUCACAAGGAAUCCUGUGGAUGACUUAACCAAUGUGACUAUAGACUCUCACCUGCAAUUUUUGGUCCUUGGACACACCCAUGGACUUCCCCUUAUCACUGUAAUCCAGGCAUGAACAUAAACUCUCUAGUGUUAGACCAAACUGUGGCUUUAACAAGACUUUUCUUAGGGCUGGGGAUCACAGAGGGACGUUCAUAUAAAGAAUAACAACUGGCUACUAGAUAGGGCUGUUCUUGGAGUCCUCAGUUCCCAGUCCAUUCAGCUGGCCUCCAUACAGCUCCCUUCUGCUCAGAGCCCAUUCUCUUCACCACCAUUUUAGGAAGAGGCCAGUUUUUCUCUACCACCCAGAAACAUCUCACACAUGCCUCAAUUCCACAGUGUCUAGGCCGAAGUCAAAGUCCAGACAGAGGAACUAACCCCAAUCCAGGCCUGUAUUCCCCAUUUUCUGUUUCCAUAUUUUACAAAGAUGCCUAAUCAGUAUAUUAUCUUCUUCCUUCAGUAGAGAAUCCACCUUCAUUCACACAAUUGUGGCCUUACCCUAUGACUCCAAUAGUAUAGCCCCUUAGAACAUAGUGUCACAUUUCCAGAAGAUAUACAUACUUACCACUUUGGGUUGAAUUGAUCCCUCCAAAAGGAUGAAGUCCUAACCUCCAGUACAUGAGCAUGUGACCUUAUUUGGAAACAGAAUCUUUGCAGACGAUCAAGUUAAAAUGAGGUCAUUAGGAUAGGCCCAACUAAAAUGUCUUUGCC